UAGGGAAUCUUCGGCAAUGGACGGAAGUCUGACCGAGCAACGCCGCGUGAGUGAAGAAGGUUUUCGGAUCGUAAAGCUCUGUUGUUAGAGAAGAACGUUGGUAGGAGUGGAAAAUCUACCAAGUGACGGUAACUAACCAGAAAGGGACGGCUAACUACGUGCCAGCAGCCGCGGUAAUACGUAGGUCCCGAGCGUUGUCCGGAUUUAUUGGGCGUAAAGCGAGCGCAGGCGGUUCUUUAAGUCUGAAGUUAAAGGCAGUGGCUUAACCAUUGUACGCUUUGUAGACUGGAGGACUUGAGUGCAGAAGGGGAGAGUGGAAUUCCAUGUGUAGCGGUGAAGUGCGUAGAUAUAUGGAGGAACACCGGUGGCGAAAGCGGCUCUCUGGUCUGUAACUGACGCUGAGGCUCGAAAGCGUGGGGAGCAAACAGA
rnacentral:rRNA from 1 species